rnacentral:rRNA from 2 species
GGAGGAAAGCAGGGGAUCGCAAGACCUUGCGCUAAAGGAGCGGCCGAUGUCUGAUUAGCUAGUUGGUGGGGUAAAGGCUUACCAAGGCAACGAUCAGUAGUUGGUCUGAGAGGACGGCCAACCACACUGGGACUGAGACACGGCCCAGACUCCUACGGGAGGCAGCAGUGGGGAAUUUUGGACAAUGGGCGAAAGCCUGAUCCAGCCAUGCCGCGUGAGUGAAGAAGGCCUUCGGGUUGUAAAGCUCUUUUAGUCGGAAAGAAAGAGUUGCAAUGAAUAAUUGUGAUUUAUGACGGUACCGACAGAAAAAGCACCGGCUAACUACGUGCCAGCAGCCGCGGUAAUACGUAGGGUGCGAGCGUUAAUCGGAAUUACUGGGCGUAAAGGGUGCGCAGGCGGUCUUGCAAGUCAGAUGUGAAAGCCCCGGGCUUAACCUGGGAAUUGCGUUUGAAACUACAAAGCUAG